UUUUUUUUUUUUUUUGUAUGCAUUGAAAUAUCUGGUUUGGAUGCAUUUUAAUAGCUGGUUAAAAUUGCAAUACACGUGUUGGCUUUUUUUUUUUUUUUUACAUCUGGCGGUAAAUUAUCGUUAAAAUGUUUUGUGGUUUUGUUAGUAUCCUUAUUUUUCGUUAUAUUAUAUACAAAUUAUCUGACAGGUGGACGCGUUUGAUUGUCGUUUGAACCUUACAGCUCAUCAUAUAUUUUCUAACGUUAUGAAUUUGUGAUAUAACGUUCAAACUAGCGCCUUUUUUUCGUUGUUUUCUUUCGAUUCUUCACUUUUCAACAAAAUUAUCAUGAAACGUUCGAGUAUGCGCCUUAUUUCCACAUCAUAUUUUUUUACGUAACGAAAUUCUAAUAUAACGUUAAAACUGACUCCAUUUUUUCAGUUUUCUUGCUAAGCUUCACUUCUUUCAACAAAAUUAUAAUGAAACGUUCGAACACGCGCAUUAUUUUCUCUUAUUUUAUCCUUCUUACUUUUCUUCAUUUCUUUCAAUAUACACAAAUUCGUUUCUAGUAACAUGGAUUUAAAAGACUUCAAACUUCAUUAUUCUUUUCUCCUUUAUCAUCAAAUUCACUAUAAAAUUAUGAAUAAGUGCAUCAUUUCAUUGUAUCUUCAUUAUCAUCACUAUCUUUGGUUGAGAGAGAGAGAGAGAGAGAGAGAGAGAGAGAGAGAGAGAGAGAGAGAGAGAGAGAGAGAGCAAUCCCACCCAGCUCACUUAAAGAGGAUACUCCCUGGAGCUUCCCGAAAUACACACACACACACACACACACACACACACACGGACACACACACGGACACACACACAUUUCCCAACCCUAUCUCGCACACGCAAACCUACAAACACACACACACACACACACAGCUAACCUUCCGUGAUAACAGUUCAUAACAGAUAGAUAAUACAAAUAAUAACAAACAUAAUAAAAAAUAACAAGGCGAUAGUUACCCCUUACACCACCACCACCAUCACCCAUAUCUCUUCUUCUACUUCGUCACCCUCAUACAAACACACACACACACACACAUACACACGAACGCACGCCGAGACGAACCUUCAGCGCCGAAUCCUCCUCCUCCUCGUCGCCAUGGUAACGGAGACGCCGACCCGUUAACAGCUGGCUAGUGUCAACAAAGGGAACGGGCGGUCUCUCUCUCUCUCUCUCUCUCUCUCUCUCUCUCUCUCUCUCUCUCGUAUAUCUGAAACUCCCCUCCUCCUCCUUUUCAUUCUCUUCCUAGCUUGUAUUCUAAUCACUCAGCUUGUCUUCUUUAUUUCUUCUUUUCCUUCUUUCUUUCUUCUUCUCCUUUUCUUCAUUAUCCUCUUAGUUUGUAUCCUUAUCACGCUUCUUCCUUCCUCCUUCCAUCCUACACACUCUGUCAACCCAGCUCCUUCUUCUUCUUCUUCUCCUCUCCACUCUCAUCACACCCUCGGGAACACUUUAGGUCUUGGUGAUGUAAAAAUAAAUAACUGCUUUUGUCUUUUGAAAUCUUGAAGUAUAUAAUUGUUGACUUUUAAAACUGUUUCUAUGUAAUUUAUGGAGUCGGUUGCUUGCUUCGGACGAAAGAUAGAGAUAGGUAGAUAGAGAUAGAUAGUUAAAUGGAUAGAUAAACAGAGAGAAAGAGAGAAGAGAACUACAGAGCUACCUUCUAUAUUAAAAAAAAAGGCUUUGAAAAUCACCCAAUAAAAUAACAAUAAAAAUCGAAGUUGGGAGCAUAUGUUAAAGCUGCGCGUGACCUCAGUGCUCAUCUCCUUCUCACGAAAUAGAUAAAAAGCCACAUUACUCCAUCACAAUUUUUCCUUCAAGAGAGGCAGGCGUUAGGCACUCGAGAUAAGGGUCAGGCGAUGGACGUUGAUUAAGCAAGAUAACGUAUGUCAACCCCACUAUCAUUUUCAUUAUUACGUGACCUUGAUGCAGAUGGCAAUAAACCUGACAAUAAUGAUAGGAAAAAAGAGGGCACAGAGAUAACGAGGGCAAGUUCUUACUCCCAAAAUACAGUAGAUGAUGUAAGACCCAGAUAAUCUUAAGCCUUGGUGACACUGGAAAUGAUUCAUGUUGUUGAUAAGGAGAAACAAAUGAGAAAAUAAAAAAAUAAAUAAAUGAAAACGAAGUGAAAGCAAAAUCUUAAUCCCUAAAUACAGUAGAUUAGAUACGAUGAUAAUGUUGGAGGUAGAAAAAAAAGGGAAAAAAUGAAGCGACGGAAAAAUCUUUAAUCUCAAAAUACAGUACCUAGAUUAUAAAAGACAGUGGAAAUGAUUGAUAGUGUUGAUAGAGGAGAAGAAAGAAGGGGAAAGAUGAUGACGGCAGGAGGAAAAAGAAGGGGAAAGAUGAUGAUGGCAGGAGGAAAAAAUAAGGGGAAAGACUGUUGGAAAAAAAAAAAAAAAAAAAAAAAAUGGCGACAGGUUAAGGUUACUUGUGGCUUUGUGAUUCUGAACAAUUACCAAUAGGCCCCAGGGGAUAACUUAGGCCUUGUUGGUGAUUGCGGUGAAGAUGGUGACGGUGGUGGUGAUGGUGUAGAAGGAGGUGAAGGGCGUGUAAGAACUUGAAGACCAAUCCUAUAAGCCCAAGAUUGCUUCAUUGCUGUUCUUCAGGUUAACCACAACGAGCCACCCUCACCACUGGCUACUGGGAAGGUUGAGGUCUUGGUGAUGGUGGAAUGGUGACAGCAAUGAUAAAAAUAGGGAAGGGUGAAGUAAAGGGAGUUCAAAUCACCAAAGAAAGGGGGAGGGUUGGUAGUUUGAAAUCUAUAUCACCAAGAAGCAAUAUCGUAGGCAUAGGAAAGCUGAGGUCUUGGUGAUAGUGGAAUGGUGACAGUAAUGAUAAAAACAGGGAAGGGUGAAGUAAGGGGAGUUCAAAUCACCAAAGAAAGGGGGAAGGGUUGGUAGUUGGGAAUCUAUAUCACCAAGAAGCAAUAUCGUAGCCAUAGGAAAGCUGAGGUCUUGGUGAAAGUGGAAUGGUGACAGCAAUGAUAAAAAUAGGGAAGGGUGAAGUAAGGGGAGUUCAAAUCACCAAAGAAAGGGGGAAGGGUUGAUAGUAGGGAAUCUAUAUCACCAAGAAGCAAUAUCGUAGCCAUAGGAAAGCUGAGGUCUUGGUGAAAGUGGAAUGGUGACAGCAAUGAUAAAAAUAGGGAAGGGUUAAGUAAGGGGAGUUCAAAUCACCAAAGAAAGGGGGAGGGUUGGUAGUUUGAAAUCUAUAUCACCAAGAAGCAAUAUCGUAGCCAUAGGAAAGCUGAGGUCUUGGUGAAAGUGGAAUGGUGACAGCAAUGAUAAAAAUAGGGAAGGGUUAAGUAAGGGGAGUUCAAAUCACCAAAGAAAGGGGGAAGGGUUGAUAGUAGGGAAUCUAUAUCACCAAGAAGCAAUAUCGUAGCCAUAGGAAAGCUGAGGUCUUGGUGAUAGUGGAAUGGUGACCGUACCUAAUGAUAAAAAUUGGGGAGUUCAAAUCACCAAAGGGGGAAGGGUUGACAAUAGGAAAUCCAAAUCACCAAGAAACAAUAUCAUAGCCAUAGGAAAGCUGAGGUCUUGGUGAAAGUGGAAUGGUGACCGUACCUAA